CUGAAAAGACUCAUUGUAGGGAGAGUGUGUGCAGCCGUGGUUUGUGUGUGUGUGGGGGGAGCCCCCUCCUCCUUAACUAGCUGGUCAGCACAGCAGCGGAGGGAUUAGUGAAGCCAGCUCCACUCUCUACAAACAGACGGAGGGGGAUUGCAAUAAGCGUGAAUCAUGCACGUCGUCAUUACUACCGGCUGGGAGUGGAGCCGAAAUUGUGCAAGAUACGGAUAACAGCGAAGAAAGGUCCGUGUGGAUCCAGUCAAGUUUCGUCUCCUCGUUACGCCGUGAAAAUGCCUCACCAGGGGCUCUGCUGCUGCCGCUGCUGCUUCUCGGACCCGUCGCAUUAUACUGCCUCCCUCACAUGUGCUUUAUGCUGAAGAAGUAACCAGGAUAUAUAGACCUGUAAGGAGUCUGUGAGAGCGGUAAACCAAAGGACGUACGGAUAUUUAUUUUCCUUUUCGCCGUGCGGGAAAUUGUCUUAAGUGGAAAAAAGAGGCAGAAAAGUUUUACUGGUUGGUCAAACAUGGGGAACGCAGGGAGCAUGGACCAGCACACUGAUUUCAGAGGACACAACAUGCCUCUGAAACUACCCAUGCCGGAGCCAGGUGAACUGGAGGAAAGGUUUGCAACCGUUUUGAACUCGAUGAAUCUUCCUCCAGACAAAGCACGACUGCUGCGGCAGUAUGACAACGAGAAGAAGUGGGAACUCAUCUGCGAUCAGGAGCGAUUCCAAGUGAAAAACCCUCCUCACACGUACCUCCAAAAGCUGAGGAGUUAUCUAGACCCAGCAGUCACACGGAAGAAAUUCAGACGGAGAGUUCAGGAGUCCACCCAAGUCCUGAGAGAACUGGAAAUUUCGUUACGGACCAAUCAUAUAGGGUGGGUUAGAGAAUUCUUAAAUGAAGAGAACAAAGGCCUGGACGUGCUGGUGGAGUAUCUUUCUUUUGCACAGUAUGCCGUCACGUUUGAUGGAGACUGUGCAGAGAACAACCCAGAGGCUGCUAUGGAUAAGUCUAAGCCCUGGAGCCGCUCUAUAGAAGACCUGCAUGGAGGAAGCACCCUGCCAUCUUCCAUCACUGGAAACGGCAUCACACGUGCUAGCCGACAUUCCACGAUACGUCAUCUGCUCCUCUGUCUGCCAGUCUUCGACAGCAGGACACCGAGCACACUGAGCUGUCCAACAUGCUCUCAAAUAAGACGCUGCAACACACUUCCGAGCCGGAGAACUCUGAAAAACUCCAGACUGGUUUGCAAGAAAGACGAUGUCCACGUCUGCAUCAUGUGCCUGCGUGCUAUCAUGAACUACCAGUAUGGCUUCAACAUGGUCAUGUCACACCCACAUGCUGUGAAUGAAAUUGCACUAAGUCUCAACAAUAAAAAUCCAAGAACUAAAGCUCUGGUCUUGGAGCUCCUGGCGGCAGUUUGUCUCGUGAGAGGAGGCCAUGAAAUUAUUCUCUCUGCAUUCGACAACUUUAAGGAGGUGUGCAUUGAGACACAGCGAUUUGAGAGGCUAAUGGAGUAUUUCAAGAACGAGGACAACAAUAUCGACUUCAUGGUGGCCUGUAUGCAGUUCAUCAACAUAGUCGUGCACUCAGUGGAGGACAUGAACUUCAGAGUUCACCUACAGUACGACUUCACCAAGUUGUGUCUGGACGACAACUUAGACAAAUUAAAGCAUACAGAGAGCGAUAAGCUACAGGUUCAGAUCCAGGCCUACUUGGAUAAUGUGUUUGACGUGGGAGCCCUUCUGGAGGAUGCCGAGACCAAAAAUGCUGCCCUGGAGCGUGUGGAGGAGCUGGAGGAGAACAUGUCACAUAUGACAGAGAAGCUGCAGGACACGGAGAACGAGGCCAUGUCCAAGAUCGUGGAGCUGGAAAAGCAGCUGAUGCAAAGGAACAAGGAGCUUGAAUCGAUCAGGGAAGUCUACAAAGAUACCAGCUCGCAGGUCCACUCACUGCGGCAGAUGUUGAAGGAGAAGGACGAGGCCAUCCAGCGACAGAGUAACCUGGAGAAGAAGAUCCACGAACUUGAGAAACAAGGCACCAUCAAGAUCCACAAGAAGGGAGAUGGAGACAUCUCCAUCCUGCCCUCACCGCCCUCCGGUGUGGAGGGCUUGCUGGGUGUUGUGAUGGGAGCAAAUGGCGCAGCAAAUCAUGUGGGAGUGGUAACCGGCACGCUGGCUCCACCACCACCUCCUCCACUGCCAGUGAACGGCACAUUGUCAAACGGACCAUCAGCAGUCAUUCCUGCAGCAGCUCCCCCACCUCCACCGCCUCCCCCUCCACCUCCGCCUCCUCCCCCAGGGCCAGCCUCACAGAUCUCAGCACCUAUGCCCCCUCCGCCUCCUCCUGUAGCGCCCCCACUGCCCGGCUGUGGGACGCCUACGGUCAUCAUGAACUCUGGGUUAGCAGAGGGACCCAUCAAACUUUUCUCUGUUAAGAUCAAGAAACCCAUCAAGACAAAGUUCCGUAUGCCCGUCUUCAACUGGGUAGCCCUGAAACCAAACCAGAUCAACGGGACUGUCUUCAAUGAGAUUGAUGACGAGAGGAUACUUGAGGACCUGAACGUGGACGAGUUUGAGGAGAUGUUUAAGACUAAAGCCCAGGGCCCGGCUAUUGACCUCACCAUGAGCAAGCAGAAGGUCAUCCAGAAGGGGCCCAACAAGGUGGCGCUACUGGACUCCAACAGAGCAAAGAACCUGGCCAUCACACUGAGGAAAGUGGGCAAGACUCCUGAGGAGAUCUGCAAGGCCAUUCAGAUCUUUGACCUGCGAACUCUGCCGGUGGACUUCGUGGAGUGUCUGAUGCGCUUCCAGCCCACCGAGAAUGAGAUUAAAAUCAUGCGGCAGUAUGAGAAGGAGCGCAAGCCACUAGAGAGCCUGCCGGACGAGGACCGCUUUAUGAUGCAGUUUAGUAAAAUCGAGAGGCUCAUGCAGAAGAUGACCAUCAUGGCCUUCAUCGGCAACUUCUGUGAGAGCGUGCAGAUGCUCACACCGCAAAUUCAUGCAGUCAUUGCAGCAUCUGUGUCCAUCAAGUCCUCACAGAAACUAAAGAAAAUUCUAGAGAUCAUCUUGGCACUCGGAAACUACAUGAACAGCAGCAAAAGAGGAGCUGUGUAUGGAUUCAAGCUGCAAAGUUUAGACUUGCUACUGGAUACCAAGUCGACAGACCGUAAGAUGACGUUGUUACACUACAUAGCCAAUGUGGUAAAGGAGAAAUACUCACAAGUUUCUCUCUUCUACAACGAGCUGCACUACGUGGAGAAAGCUGCAGCAGUGUCAUUGGACAACGUCCUGCUGGAUGUUAGGGAGCUGCAGAGAGGCAUGGAGCUGACCAAAAGAGAGUACAGCAUGCACGGCCACAACACCAUGCUCAAAGACUUCAUCACACACAAUGAGAGCAAGCUGAAGAAGCUGCAGGAUGAUGCCAAGAUUGCACAGGAUGCCUUUGACGAGGCAGUGAAGUUCUUCGGGGAGAACUCUAAAACAACGCCACCCUCCGUCUUCUUCCCGGUGUUUGUGCGAUUUGUUAGGGCUUACAGGCAAGCAGAAGAGGACAACGAGCAGAAAAAGAGAGCAGAGCAGAUUUUGAUGGAGAAACUUCUAGAACAGGAGGCCAUGAUGGAGGAAGACCAGAAGUCUCCUCAUAAGAACAAACGGCAGCAGCAAGAGCUGAUCCAGGAGCUCAGGAGGAAACAGGUGAAAGACAGUCGCCACGUCUACGAAGGCAAAGAUGGAGCGAUUGAGGACAUCAUCACGGUGCUGAAGACAGUGCCCUUUACCGCCCGCACAGCCAAGCGAGGCUCUCGGUUCUUCUGCGAGCCCGCCCUCAAUGACGAGUACCAUUACUAAGCUUGUAGAACUGUCUCUCUGCUCUAAGCCCUAAAGAAGAAUAAUAUUAAUAAAUUUCCCAAUGUCUACUCGAGGAUUUGAGGAAUCAGCCUUACAGGCGAGCAGACGCUGUGCGGAGGAGUGUCAGGAGACGCUUUGAUGAUCAGAACCUGCGGCCGGUGAACAAUGGUGAAGUGAUGAUGUGACGAGGGAACGGUGCAUGUGCUGUUGGGGGUUGAAGAUGGCGAGGAUGUGUAAGAGAGGGAGAGACAGGAGGUUCGAUGCAGAGUGAAGGAUAAGUGAAAGAUGACAAGCGUAGCAACCAUAGAGAUGUGUAUGUAUAUAUAUUACAUAAGAAUACACGUUAUUCCAUGUCUGUGGUAUAGUAGCAGCUUUUCACUAUGAAGGACUGGGAGCUGUAUGGGACUGCAUUUAAAGUGUCUGAAAGGUUGAUUCAGAACCCAAGUGCCUGAACUUAUUUUUGUGGGCUAAUGUCACGCAUGUCUUCUGUUUGUCUGAUGACUGUUUGUAAUAUUCCCCACUUCAAGCAAUACAAUUUGACCUGGCUUUAAUUUUAAGAUGUGUAAAACUGGACUUGCGGUGGCCUUAAGGGCCACGUGAAGAGAUGCUUCCUUGGAAACAUAACGUAGAAUGUAUGGGACACGUUCCCUGUAGCUGUUACAAGUAUUACAUCUUGUAGUGUUGAGUUUGACGGUCUGUAGUAUCUCGAUACAUUCCGGUGCUCUUUUUCAUUCCUCUUGCUAUACAAAUGUGCUCAACUUGCACUUUUUGCAUCUAAUGAGGUUUUUCAACUUUGACUAAAAGGGCUGAUGUUCAGGCAUGAAGAAAGUGAUCAGAAAAGUAAUUAAAUAUCUAUAUUUGUACUAAAGUAAGUUUUAAGGAUGAUGAAAAAUGAACGGAAAAGACAAAACCAUUUCAAAACAAGACUGGGCUAAUGUGAAUUGUACAGUAUAUACCAGGCCUCUCUCCAUGCUGACUUCUCUUUCAUAAUGUGUUACAGUUAAUGGAUCAAGCCUGACAUUGUAGCCCUUAAUCCGUAGAAGUAGGCCGCCUGCUCACAUAAAACUCUACCGUCCAUUUAAAAAAGAGCAGUUUGUCUGGUGUCUGGGAACAAAUUACAAGUGAAUGAGCCUGUAAAACAAACAUAGAAACUGCAUGAAAGAUACUGAACCUAACUGGAUAUAACUUUGCAUUUCAUCUCUGUCAACUUAUUUUUCACAGAUUAGUUACAUUCCAGGCUACUGCAUCUACUCACUUUAUUGUAAUUUUAAUGUAUAGUAUUUAACCACUGAAAGGAUUCCUUUAACCUCAUGUUUUCAUUUAAUGUGUCCAUGGUCAUCAGAAACCUGGCAAAACAAAAGUAUACAACACAAAAGUUUCCUAAAUGUACAGAUAUUUUGCAACAAACCAUGCUUUUUUUUUUUUUUUUUUUUUUUUUUUUUUACUUAUUUCACAUUACCAGAUGGUUAAUAUUGUACAUAUUGUUUAAACAAAAGUUUUCAUUGCCUUGUGUUAUACAACUUGAAUGUUAUUUUAACUUAUAGUUUUUGUUUUCCAUUUUUUGUAUAUUUAAUUAAGCCAAAUGCAGCCAGAAGCUACAGUAGUGUUAAAUCCUAAUAGUCUCACGGUGAUGCAGAUCACUGACUUGUGGGUGUGUCACAGGUGCAUCAAAGCCAGCUACAAAAACAUGACCUGAUUUGCAAGUGUUGGUACAUUUGAACAUAUGUAUAACUUCUAAUCAUAGACAUUGUAUCUAAUAAAACUAAUUUCUAUUAGUUGACCUGUGACUAGCUGGAUUUGUGGCUUAGUGAUGCACCCUCCUGUAAUUCUCUCCACUAAAGCACAUUCAUCUCCUAAUCCAUCAACUUCUGUCAUUGUGACAUUUCUCUAACUGGAUAAUACUGGCAUUUUUUUUAUUUUUUUUUUUUUUACUUCCACCAGAAAUGUAUUUUAGGCAGUUUGUGCUUAUUA